CGAUGACGAGGCUGACGCCCGUCUCAGGCAGUAUUUGUCUGGGACACGGCUGAUGCGACAUGAGGCAUUUGUAUGAGGAUAUCGUUCGACGUGGAUGUGGGGUUUCCGUCGUGAACGUGACUGACGGAAUGCGUCUUUGGUUACAGGACCGGACAAACCAUGUUACCAUGAAAGCUACACAGAGCUGCGACUGUCCGGAGACGAUCUGCAAGCCUUAUCAUAGCAGAUGUUUUCCCCGUCCCUAGGAAGUACCUACGACCUCUGCCGAUGGCCUCCGACCAGUCACGGAAAUUCAUGAUGCCGGUGCGUUUCCGUCGGUGACUCCCACGGGCCGCACUUAUGUGUACAACGACCAGCGCACAGGUCACGGAGUACGAAAUGGGCGCGGU